GGAUAGCCCAGAGAAAUUUGGAUUAAUACCUCAUAGUAUAUUGGUCUCGCAUGAGAUUAUUAUUAAAGAUUUAUCGGUGAAAGAUGAGCAUGCGUCCCAUUAGUUAGUUGGUAAGGUAACGGCUUACCAAGACUACGAUGGGUAGGGGUCCUGAGAGGGAGAUCCCCCACACUGGUACUGAGACACGGACCAGACUCCUACGGGAGGCAGCAGUGAGGAAUAUUGGACAAUGGGCGCAAGCCUGAUCCAGCCAUGCCGCGUGCAGGAUGACGGUCCUAUGGAUUGUAAACUGCUUUUAUACGAGAAGAAACACUGGUUCGUGAACCAGCUUGACGGUAUCGUAAGAAUAAGGAUCGGCUAACUCCGUGCCAGCAGCCGCGGUAAUACGGAGGAUCCAAGCGUUAUCCGGAAUCAUUGGGUUUAAAGGGUCCGUAGGCGGUCAGAUAAGUCAGUGGUGAAAGCCCAUCGCUCAACGGUGGAACGGCCAUUGAUACUGUCUGACUUGAAUUAUUAGGAAGUAACUAGAAUAUGUAGUGUAGCGGUGAAAUGCUUAGAGAUUACAUGGAAUACCAAUUGCGAAGGCAGGUUACUACUAAUGGAUUGACGCUGAUGGACGAAAGCGUGGGUAGCGAACAGGAUUAGAUACCCUGGUAGUCCACGCCGUAAACGAUGGAUACUAGCUGUUGGGAGCAAUCUCAGU
rnacentral:rRNA from 1 species